rnacentral:rRNA from 1 species
AACGAACGCUGGCGGCAGGCCUAACACAUGCAAGUCGAACGAUAAGCCACCUUCGGGUGGUGGACAGUGGCAGACGGGUGAGUAACGCGUGGGAACGUGCCUUUCGGUUCGGGAUAACCCAGGGAAACUUGGGCUAAUACCGGAUACGCCCUUCGGGGGAAAGAUUCAUUGCCGAAAGAUCGGCCCGCGUCGGAUUAGCUAGUUGGUGGGGUAAUGGCCUACCAAGGCGACGAUCCGUAGCUGGUCUGAGAGGAUGACCAGCCACACUGGGACUGAGACACGGCCCAGACUCCUACGGGAGGCAGCAGUGGGGAAUAUUGGACAAUGGGCGAAAGCCUGAUCCAGCCAUGCCGCGUGUGUGAAGAAGGCCUUAGGGUUGUAAACCCCUUUCAGCGGGGACGAUAAUGACGGUACCCGCAGAAGAAGCCCCGGCUAACUCCGUGCCAGCCGCCGCCGUAA